rnacentral:rRNA from 1 species
CCUACGGGAGGCAGCAGUAAGGAAUAUUGGUCAAUGGACGAAAGUCUGAACCAGCCAUGCCGCGUGAAGGAUGAAGGCCCUCUGGGUUGUAAACUUCUUUUAUCUGGGACGAAAAAAGGGAAUUCUUUCUCACUUGACGGUACCAGAGGAAUAAGCACCGGCUAACUCCGUGCCAGCAGCCGCGGUAAUACGGAGGGUGCAAGCGUUAUCCGGAUUUACUGGGUUUAAAGGGAGCGUAGGUGGGCAGGUAAGUCAGUGGUGAAAUCUCCGGGCUUAACCCGGAAACUGCCAUUGAUACUAUCUGUCUUGAAUAUUCUGGAGGUAAGCGGAAUAUGUCAUGUAGCGGUGAAAUGCUUAGAUAUGACAUAGAACACCAAUUGCGAAGGCAGCUUACUACGGGAUUAUUGACACUGAGGCUCGAAAGCGUGGGGAUCAAACAGGAUUAGAUACCCUGGUAGUCCACGCCCUAAACGAUGGAUACUCGACAUCAGCGAUACACUGUUGGUGUCUGNGNGAGANAUAGUAUCCACNCGAGUACGANCGCAGAUAGAACACGAAGAAGUAGAGCGUGAGACGACGACGACGACGACGACGGAGGGAGGAGG